rnacentral:rRNA from 1 species
GAUGAAACCUACUUGUCAAAGCCUGAUCUCAUCAGAUCUCAGAAGCUACGCAGGGCUGGGUCUAUUUAUAACUUGGAUGAGAGACCACUAGGACCAGGUGUC